UACGAAGGGUGCAAGCGUUACUCGGAAUUACUGGGCGUAAAGCGUGCGUAGGUGGUUGAUUAAGUCUGUCGUGAAAGCCCUGGGCUCAACCUGGGAAUUGCGAUGGAAACUGGUUGACUAGAGUGUGGCAGAGGGUAGUGGAAUUCCUGGUGUAGCAGUGAAAUGCGUAGAGAUCAGGAGGAACAUCCGUGGCGAAGGCGACUGCCUGGGCCAACACUGACACUGAGGCGCGAAAGCGUGGGGAGCAAACAGG
rnacentral:rRNA from 1 species